rnacentral:rRNA from 1 species
AUGGGACGAACCACAAUUAACCCUAUUUGGAGCAAGAUGGGGAAAUUAUCUUGCCCAGCAAAGGUCAAAAUAUGUAUCUGGCGUACACUACAUGGCACACUUCCAUGUCAUGUUACGCUCACAAACAAACAUAUGAAAAUCUCGCCCACUUGUCCUACUUGCUCUGCUAGUCUAGAAUAUACGAAGCACAUGCUAUCUCUCUAUAAUAAAGCAAAGGAAGUUUGGAAAAAGCUAGGGAUGGAUGGUAUUAUUGAUAAAGGCUGUGAGGUUGAUUAUGUUGGAGAGGCGGUAUUGAAGUAUUUACUUCUUCUACCAGACCAAAAACCGUGGAUUAUGGGUCAUCGCAAUGUGCGUGAAAUGAUUGCUAUCUCAGCCUAGUAUCCAUGGUGGGAAAGACGGAAACUAGUGCACAAGGAGACACCUCAGAAUGUGUAUCAGAUCUCUAUGGAGUCUCAUCUCCAAAGGCCUCUAUGA